AUGACGAAUCACCUCCUCACCCGAGCUCGACGCGGCUCCAUCGCUGAUAUGCAGCUUUGCGGACCUCCAAGAUGGCUCACCAAAAGUGAAGCCCUUAUCGUUGAACGAAUCAGACCGAGGCAACACUCCGGACACGCCAUCAAAGAUAAUUGGGAGCCUAUGUCCAUUGAUGCAUACCUGCUUGCGUACAUGUGUGCUGCCUUGUUAGAUAACUAUAUACGCACCACGUCGACAGAGCUUGUUGGCAUGUGCUGCAUAGAUGCCGAUAUGCAAGAAGGUAAUGGAUCUGAAAAUAAUGCAAAUAAUAAGGAAUCAAGAAUGUCUAGUGUGGAUUAG
rnacentral:rRNA from 1 species